rnacentral:rRNA from 1 species
UCCUACGGGAGGCAGCAGUGGGGAAUAUUGCACAAUGGGGGAAACCCUGAUGCAGCCAUGCCGCGUGUGUGAAGAAGGCCUUCGGGUUGUAAAGCACUUUCAGUAGGGAGGAAGGUAGUGUAGUUAACACCUGCACUAUUUGACGUUACCUACAGAAGAAGCACCGGCUAACUCCGUGCCAGCAGCCGCGGUAAUACGGAGGGUGCGAGCGUUAAUCGGAAUUACUGGGCGUAAAGCGCAUGCAGGCGGCCUGUUAAGUCAGAUGUGAAAGCCCGGGGCUUAACCUCGGAAUUGCAUUUGAAACUGGCAGGCUAGAGUCUUGUAGAGGGGGGUAGAAUUUCAGGUGUAGCGGUGAAAUGCGUAGAGAUCUGAAGGAAUACCAGUGGCGAAGGCGGCCCCCUGGACAAAGACUGACGCUCAGAUGCGAAAGCGUGGGGAGCAUACAGGAUUAGAUACCCUGGUAGUCCACGCCGUAAACGAUGUCUACUUGGAGGUUGUGGCCUUGAGCCGUGGCUUUCGGAGCUAACGCGUUAAGUAGACCGCCUGGGGAGUACGGUCGCAAGAUUAAAACUCAAAGGAAUUGACGGA